rnacentral:rRNA from 1 species
GGGUAACCUGCCCAAGAGAUCGGGAUAACACCUGGAAACAGAUGCUAAUACCGGAUAACAACAGAUGAUGCCUAUCAACUGUUUAAAAGAUGGUUCUGCUAUCACUCUUGGAUGGACCUGCGGUGCAUUAGCUAGUUGGUAGGGUAACGGCCUACCAAGGCGAUGAUGCAUAGCCGAGUUGAGAGACUGAUCGGCCACAUUGGGACUGAGACACGGCCCAAACUCCUCGGGAGGCAGCAGGG